UGAUCACUUUCUUCACAUUCACGUGUCUGUAAAUGGUUUCUAGGAUUAGUUGCUCCAUCACCUUCCCAGGGAUUGAGAUGGGGCUAACCUGCCUGUAGUUCCUCAAAUCUGCUUUCUUGCCUUUCUUGAAAAUAGGAGUGACAUUUGCUUUCUUGUAGUGUUCAGGAACCUGUACUGAUUGCUGUGACCUUUCAAAGAUAAGUGAGAGUGGCUUUGCAAAGGCAUUGGCCAGCUGCCUCAGCGUUUGUGUCUACAUCCCAUCAGGUGCCAUGGACAUAUGUAUGUUCAGUUUAAGUAAGCGCUCAGUAACCUGAUCCUCGUCCACCAAGGGUACGUCUUUCUUGCUCCAGGCUUCCCCUUGGGUCUCAGAGGCCUGGGAUUCCUGAAGGCUGGUCUUACAGAGAAAGCACUGAGGGGAUGGAGAUACGUUUCUCUGCUUGCUCCAAGGAUUCUAAUAGAGAAGAGAAAUUUACAGCUAACAUUUGUUCGCGCACACAGACUGCCCGUGUUCACUGUCAGAAGCACUUGUGCUCGUCCAUCUAGAAAGAAGGAGAGAAAACAGAACAAACACUCUUAGCCUGCUGUUCA